GGACGUGUAUACAAGAGGUCAACGUGAGCAGACUGUAAAUCUGCCGGCUCAGCCUUCGAAGGUUCGAAUCCUUCCGCGUCCACCA
rnacentral:tRNA from 1 species